UUCCCCCGCGCACCGGGACACCGCGGGAAACCGCAGCUGAUACCGGGUACUCCGGGGCCCCCGCAUGGGGGCCCCGGGAAAGCUCCGGCGGCGGGGGAUGGGGUCGCGUCCCAUCAGGUAGUAGGCGGGGCAACGGCCCACCUAGCCGACGACGGGUAGCCGGGUUGAGAGACCGACCGGCCACAUUGGGACUGAGAUACGGCCCAGACUCCUACGGGAGGCAGCAGUGGGGAAUUUUGCGCAAUGGGGGCAACCCUGACGCAGCAACGCCGCGUGCGGGACGACGGCCUUCGGGUUGUAAACCGCUUUCAGCAGGGAAGAACCUUGACGGUACCUGCAGAAGAAGCCCCGGCUAACUACGUGCCAGCAGCCGCGGUAAUACGUAGGGGGCGAGUGUUAUCCGGAAUGAUUGGGCGUAAAGCGCGCGCAGGCGGCCGCUCAAGCGGGACCUCUAACCCCGGGGCUCAACCCCGGGCCGGGUCCCGAACUGGGCGGCUCGAGUGCGGUAGGGGAGAGCGGAAUUCCAAGUGUAGCGGUGAAAUGCGCAGAUAUUUGGAAGAACACCGAUGGCGAAGGCAGCUCUCUGGGCCGUCACUGACGCUGAGGCGCGAAAGCCGGGGGAGCGAACAGGAUUAGAUACCCUGGUAGUCCCGGCCGUAAACGAUGGGCGCUAGGUGUGGGGAAGCAUUUUCUCCGUGCCGCA
rnacentral:rRNA from 1 species